UGGGAUUUUUACAAGCUUCCAGGUGAUUCUACAGGGAAGCCAAGCCUUCCAGGCCCCGGUGGGAUGGGACUUCCCUGCCUGCACGGUUGAGAGGAGCCAUGGGCUUAUUCUAGCCAAUGAGUGGUGGAUGGACGUGACUCGUGUCUCUUCCAGGCUGGAGCAUUUAAUUGUCCAGGUGAGAUACUCAGGGACUUGUCCCUCCAGAGCUGAGAAUGGCCAUGUUUCCAGAGGGUCUGCAGGAGCAACCUGAGUCUCAGAGCACAGCCACCAGCAGACCUGCUGCACACAUGUGGCGGGGGAAAGAAAGAAAGCCAGCUGUCUGCAGCCACUGAGAGUUUGGGGUGGUUGUUUCUCAUGACAAAACCAGCUCACCCUGACUUAUACAAAGUCUUUGAGUUAUAUAGAUGGAGAAUGAGGCUCUUGGGUCCCUCUAGUCUCACAAAGCGAUAGCCUAGCUAAAUCCAUCUAACUAGGGAGCAGAAAAGGGGAGGUGCUGGCUUGCACACCCUAGACAGUUGUUCAAGAAGUCAGGACACCAGGCCUGGAGUGAUACUUCAGCCACCCUUCUAGGUGAGGGUCUUGAGGCCACACAGACAGAAGUGGCAGAGAUGGGACACACAUUGGUCUUCUCACUCACAGUCUGGCACUGAGCUGUGGGCUGCCGGGACACCAUGCCCCCACACGAGUAGC
rnacentral:lncRNA from 1 species